CCACUUAUCGAAGAAGCUUACACAAAAACUUCCAUUCAAAUUACAUGGACUUGCUGUUAGAUCAACUUUCCGUCCAUCUCGUUCCAUUUUCUUUAUUUGUACAAAGCAGAGUGUUCGUGUGUAUGAUUUAUUGAAGAUUAAGCUCAUAAAGAAGCUAGAUACUGGGCUCCGUGAAGCCUCAUCUAUUGCAGUUCAUCCUGGAGGUGAUAAUUUAAUUGUUGGGAGCAAAGAAGGGAAGCUGUGUUGGUUUGACAUGGACCUUUCAUCUAAACCUUA